CAGUAUCAGCUUUAUUCUUAAUUUUAUAUUCAUCUGCUGGUCCUCACAGCAAAUACUCUGGCCUGUGUUUUCAAAAAUCCCACAUCUGUGGCAGAUUGGCACUAGGGGGGUGUGGGGACUUUGGGGUCCAAGGUGUUUGUCUGUCCUGGCAGUCAGUCCUGCCUCCAGCACAGCAGUGGGGGCUUGUGCCUGCUGAGGUGCUCUGUGACACCUGAGCAGCAAUUUUCUAACCUUCCCCCUUAGAUGAAGCCAGGAGCCACCUUCAUGCUUUAGUUUCAGAUCACAGCUGACAAAGCAGUUUCUCUUUUAUGUAUUUUUCUAGUUUAGUUUUUCAGACGAUUUUUAAAAAUUGAAAUUUAUAGUUGAGCUUAUCUUUGAAAAAACUGCUUGGAAUUCUUCAUAGCAGUCAAGUUGUUUUCCAGCAUUUCUUUAACUAUUUUUAAAUUGAUUUGUCUCGCUAGUAAAUAUCAGUGAUUUAAGAUUUAUGAUUUUUUUUUCUUCAUUUAAAUGUUUCUCCUAGGAUUAAGCUUGAGAUAAAUUUUUUCAUGUUGCUGCCCACUACUUGCAUUCAUGGGUAAAUUAAACUGUCUGGUUCCUUGUCACUGAUUUUUCAAAUGCUAGUAAUUAAAAUGGGAGAAGUAUUUUUAAUGCCAAAGAUUAAACAGAUGUUGGUGGAUAUAUUAGGUUUUGACAAAAGUUUGGCAGGUAAAAUAUAAAGUAAGAAUAGCAUUCCUAUAUUAUUUAUUUUUAAUUUUAGCUUUACUGGCCUUUCAAGUGUGCUCAAAAGCGAGAUGGAUUAUUAAAAUGUUUGCCACAGUCUAUUCUCAUACAUCCCUAAAACAGGAACAUGUGAGAUGAGGAACUCAUCAUCUGGAGAGAUGUGUGUAAUGGCUGAUAUCAAACACUGCUCACCCAUCCUCAGUGAUCACAACCCCCUGAGAGCUCUCCCCAGUUCAUUAUAUCAGCUGAAAUUAUUCUCUUCCUGCUAUGAUCCGCCUGCUUUGGUAUUUUGUCUCUCCUGACCCUGAAGCUCAUUCCUUACGCUGAUUAAUGUCUUCAUAUGGUCCUGAAACUCACUGCCCUGCAUGUCUGCCCCUGUUUCUCUUAUGCUGUUACCUUGUGAGUGAUUUCUCAUAAUUACAGCACAUUUUUGUGAAGACACAUUGCCUGGUCUGUCCUGCCAGACACAGUCCUCAGAGUCUCAGUAGCUGGAGGGCAGCCAGGCAAUAUUUUGCAGCUGCUUUUGAAAAUCCCAGUGGCUCAGACCUCAGUGAUGUUGGACUCAGACAUAACCAGAUGUCGAGAAUUCUUACCAGGCACAUCCUGAGCUUCAAAAUGUUCACAAAUUCUUGUGAAUAAUGGUGCAUCCUAUCUAAAGGGUUCUGCUUUAAUAUCUGUUCUAUCUCCAGUUCAUACUCCCUAUCCCAUACAAGUUUAGAAGGAAAAAAAUUCUGCAAACCAUCUUGUACUCAACUAAAUACAGGCCAAGUCUCAUCCUGGUAUAAGAAUGUUGCUAAAUAAAAGCUGGUUUAAUGUAUAUUUCUAGCUGUUUGAGGUAUUGUCCACAUACUGAAAUGUUUGCUCUUUCCAUACCCUGCUGUAUCAACUGCCAUACAAGGACCAGCAAAUUGCUGAUCUAAUUCCAUGAAAUAUCAUGUGGUGGCUUCUCCACCCUUGGGGAAUUCUCCUAGAAAGUCAAAGCUCAGCUGGAAACUAUUUUUUGCUGUUGGAAGAGUUGAAAGAAGCUGCCUCCCACCAGCGAGUCAAGCCCGUUGUGCCUGACAGAUGUUUGCAGUCCUGCCUGAGAGCUGCAGGAGCUCACAUCAGAGCCUUCUCCUGACAAAGCACAUCUGAGUGGGCUCCUUUGCUUCGUGUCAUUUGCUUUUCCACCCAAUUUAGCUCAUGUGCCGUGCUCUGUGCAGGGACACCCUCCAGCCAGCACCCAAAGCUCUGGGGGAUCUCAGACAAGGGUGCACAGGUCUCCUCUCAGGAGCUCUCUAAUCUCAGUUCUGUGAAUGAGACAAUUCCUGUUCUCAGUGUCUGGUCUAGGGGAAGUAGCAGGUUCCUGAGUUGGAAGUAAACCUGAGAGGUGAACCUAUCCUCCAUUGGAGCCUGUGGGAUUUUCCCCACUGCAAUGAAAACAAUUGAAAAGGGCAUUGUAAGGCACACUCUGCUGUAAAAAUCAUUUCCUUGCUGUUCUCUCGGAUUUGUACUGCUCAUUGGUGAUUAAAAUUGCCCUACUGGCACUCACAUCCUGUCUUUCAUUAAGUGUUCCACUGGCUUGCUGAGCAUUGCAGAAGAGAUACAGGAUUGCCUCAGGUUAAGCAUGAAUUUUCUUUUUCAGUACUGUGCCAAGUUUUUGCUCUUUGAAGAUAUCAUUAAGAACACCUCAAAGUUCCUCUGCCUCAAACAAUGUUGUUUUCAGGAAUUGCUUGAAGGUAAGCAGUAAUGUAACUUUGUGUUAUAAGGUGAAUAACUAAGAAAUGAGAAAAGAGAUGAAUUAAUGUGCUGUCCAUGAAAUUAACAUUCUGAUAAUUGUUUGGUUUGUAAUUAUAUUGAAUUUAAUCUGACAAUAAUACUAAGAAACUGUGGGUUUUAAAACCAUCCUUUGUUUGGGAGAAAACUCUAAUUUGUUUAAAACAAUUCAUUUGCAUCUAUGUUUUUUCUAAGAUUUGUGUUGUUUUUUUUAAAUUUUGCUAAACCUUGAAUGAGGUGUUUAUACAACCAGAUCCAUUAAGCCAGAGGAUAAUUCCAUUUCAAGAGGAAGAAUGAAGGACAAAAUUGAAUGUGCACUGUUCCUAAGUUAAUGGGUGCACAAGGUACCCAAGUGCUUUGUUGUUGUUGUCUCAUCAACACGUGAGCUGCUCAGAAUUCUUUGGAAUGUACAUCACUUCUGAGGUGUGAAAGGUGAUAACCGAUCUCCGUAUUUUACUACUGAUGGACCUCUCAAAUGAAAUGCAUGUGCUGACAUCUCCAUGCUUUGGAGAUUUAAAGACCUCAAAUACUGAGAAAAAAUGACUGACCUUGAAACUCCUAUCCCAAAAUUCCCUUUUUUUAGCACUAUUGCUUUGCUGAAUAUAUUAACUUGUGGAAAAUCCCAUAAAGGAAGAUAAUAUUUCUUGUGUUAUUAUAAAGCUAAGUCUCAUGCCAGAUAAUUCCAGUGAAACAUGUUAUUGAAGUGACUCCUGUGUUCCAAGGAACAAUUUCUAAUGAAUGUGAAGGAGGAAAACUUCAGUCUUAAUGUUAUAUAUUUUUCAUCUAUCAGAAAUAUUUCUGAUUCUCAGCUGUUGCUGAAAUCAAGAUUCUGACCAACUUUCAUUGCAAUUUAUGGUAUUUAGGAAAAGAAAUACUUUUAGCAAUUUGACAAGUAUAAUUUUCCCUAGGAUGUUUUACAGUCAUCAGAAUGUCAGGAAUUUGUUGAAUUAAAUAAAUGCAAUCACACACUAAACUUUUCUCUGGUGAUUUAAUAAAACAGCUUUGUAGAGUUUUGCUCUCCUUCUCUUAUUUUUGUGCAAGUGCUGACAAGAGAUACUGAGGGAUUCCAACAGCAGGGGUCUAGAGGAACAUGAGAUUAGUCUAAUUAAGAUUUCAGAAGAUUGUCCUCCAUGGUUUACAUAGUUACAUCUAUUUUUCCACUACUGCAUGUUGGUUAUUUGUGUGAAGGGAAACAUUCCAGUAGAAUAUACACAAGUCUGGACCAAAAUAUUCUCACUAUAGCAAGGGAGGCUCUUAAAGCUCUUGUUCCUCUUUAGACCAAAUCUAACUUGGACUUGGUCCUGAAAUUAGUAUUGUCAUAAGGAUAUCUAGAAAAUCAACAAAAUUGUUGAGAUUUUCCUUUCAAAAUUGAUAGACUGCAAACAAAUCUUGAUCAGCUUUACAUGCUAGUCAGAACAAAACAAGGGCAAGUAGAAAAAGAGCAGAGUUUUUUGUUGCUUGCAUUUAAUGUUUUCUAUGUAAGAUGCUGCUAACAAAGCAAACUAAUAUAUUUGAUAACAUAUAAUCUGAAAAGGUAGAUGGAUUUGCCUGGAAAGAGGGGCUGUAAUCUUCAGGAGUCACUAGUCCUGGAAGCAAAGACUUCAAUAAUUUUAUUACUGGAUGCUCUUCCCCAUUGGUAAAAUGAGGGAAAUUAUAAUUUUCAGAACAAAUCCACAAUUUAAAACUGAAACUACACUUUUUCUACUGAAAAAAAUCACAGAUUUUCAUAAAGAGUUCAGUGGUGCUUAAAUUCAAAUGGUUAUAUCCAUAAACAUUAAGGUGAUACUGUGUGGUUAUAGAAAGAUGAGUCGAUCCACUCAGUGGGAAACACAAUGGGAAAAUUCUCUAAUACUUUAGGGUGAAUUGUAGGUGUUUUUUGCUAGCCCUGUAAAGUGUGAUCUCUCUCUCUAUAUAUGAAUACAUAUUAUGUAUAAAAUGUCAUUUUUUCUGUAUGUAGUUUGCUUUUGGUAAAGGCUUUUUUCCCACUAAUUGCAUUUUGAAUCAUUUGUUUUCUAGAAUUUCCUAAAAAUUAUCUGAUUUUUGGUAGUUGUUGUUUACAACCAUGAUAAAAGUAUUUAAAAGUGACAUUAAGCAGAACAGAUCUCACUGGAUUUUGUUACAUUGUUCAAAAAAGCCUUACUGUAAUUCUGGCCUCUUGUGUAGUGGAUGUGUGACAUAGCAAGACAAAAACCCACCAAUUUUUUCUUAAAUAAAGAAUCCUGUUGCAUGAUGCAGGAAUGAGUGUGAUGGAUAACAGCCAACACUGUUUGAACAAUGAAGCUUUUUAUAUUGUACAAUUUAUGGUUCUGUUGAUCCAGUUCAUUGCAGCUUUUUUUCCCAUACAAAACUAACUUUUGGGUUCAAAUGUUCACCCUGAUGUCAAGGUCUGAUAUUUUUAUUUCUCCUUUUCUCCUAAUUUUAUUGAUUUUUCUAGGCUAAGCAUUCCAUAAAUUAGUUAUAGUAAGAAGGCAUAUUGUGGAAUGUGAUAUAAUUGGCAACUGAUUGUUGAUGUAGGAGAUUUAUGUCAGCCUUAUAGUAAUAGUUCCUUAUAAUUGGAAACAUAUGUGAUUUUUAGUGUCUAGACUUGGGACCUUUCCCAGGAAGGAGUUCCAGGUGGUUAUCUAAGCAUAAUAGGCCAAAUGGCUACUUAAAGGCUGCAGGCAGACAUGAGAAAUAUAUAAAUGUUUCUAGCAAAUGUAAUUAUUUCUUAAUUUGACAUUUAUAAAUUGCCCUAUAUCAAUUUACAUCUGAUGGUUUGACCAGCUGAUUUGUUUUGUAAAUUCAUGUUAAAACCUGAAAUUUGCUUUCUGACUGAAAUAGAGUAAAAUAUACUUCAUAAGUUCUUGAUAUACCUGGGUGACAAAAAGCUUUUAUCUAUAUCUUGUGCCUAAUUUAGUUGCAUUGAUGUAUGAAUGUUUAACUUGAAUAGCAAAUAGUAACAUUUAAUAGAAUGAAUCCUGUGACAUUUGGUUUGGUAUAGUUAAGUUACCUGGAGCUUUGAGCUUUGUCUUUGUUUGCUAGUAGUCUGAUUUCUGGAAGGACCUCAGAAAGGAAACAUGUCUGGAAGUUGUAGAGCCUACUAAAACAUGUGGUGAUUUGAUAUUUCCUUGAUCCCAGUUUGCCUUGAACAUGCCUUGCACGUUAAAACAUCCCUGGAGAAGGAAAGCACAGUUGGCUAUCCCAGCAUGAAUACUCUGCAAAUAUUGUUCUGGGACCUGCACUGCCUGUGACUCACAAUGAAUAUUUUCAGCUCUGGUUCUGACUGUACAAUAGGAAAUGGAAAAGAAAAUAAGUGACUUGCUAGGGCCUAACACUGGAUGACUUGAUCAAUGUGGCUUGCACAGAGAACACAGAAGAGCCCACUAGAAGAUGUGAAAAGUCCUCUCAAUUCAGUUUUCAUGUGCCAGAUGGUUGUUACUUGUUGUAUUUUUAUUUUUUUUUUAAUCCUACCUGUUAAGAUAGCAAAAAACGACAUACGUUAUCUGGCUCUGCAGCCAAGUGUGUGGUCCAAAUUAUUUUCACAGAAUGCCUGACAAAGUCUGCUUGCUUGUCUGCCUGCCUCAAUCAUUUUUCUCAACUAAUGAGAAAAAUCUGCCAAGCAUUGUUGGGCUAAGGCACUAAUUAUUCUCAAACAAAUGUUUCAAUUUUGCACAAGUCAGGAAGUGUCUCUGUUUUAAAUGAUUACAUGCCAAGAUGCCAGAGUAGUUAGACCAGUUUAGUUUGUCAAUAUGUCUGGAAAUCCCAGAGGACCAAAGAGAUGAAAUCAUUAAAAGCAAAUGGGUCUGCAGUCUUAGGUGCUCUUUUAGGAAAUAUUGCUGCAAUACUUCUUUUUUGUGUAUGUUCAUUUUUAAUGAGAAUUAGUAGGUCUAUUUUCCUUCUGGAAAUGUUACUUCUUGUGAUAUUUCUGGCUGCUUUGGUCCUCAGAUUCUCUUGGUUUUGGCACUGAAUUAAAGGAAAUUUUGUGACUAGUCACGCAAGACUGGCUCAUCUAAUCUCUUCUCAGAUUUUGUAGCCUGCUCAUCAUCACCCUAUUUAAGCAUUAAGGAAGUUGGUCUCUGAUAGUGACAACAUUGGAAACUAUCUCCUUGUAAAACUUUCAGUUGAAUUUGGCAGCUGGAAGAAACUUGAACAAUUUGAAGGAAGUUUACAGCUUGUUUUCCAAGCAAUGUUCCACCCUUGGGCCUGAACUGCAACCUUCCCUACUCAGAGGUAAUUGUGAGCUUCCAGAAUAGCAUUGUCCCACCUCUGAGCACCAAAUGUUUAGGUGACAUCAAUUUGUGACAAGGCUGAAGGUUCUGAUGGUUUGGUGUGUCCCUAGAGAGGGGAGUGCCUCUGCUCAGCUGUACCUUUGCUCAUGUGCUGCACUUUUGUCCUCUGCCUUUCCCACUGCUUGUCCUCAUCCCAAAAUUGCUCCAAAAGCAGAUAGAUUGCCAGGUGUAGUCUUUUGGGUUUGCUUAUGUUUAUACCAACAAAAUCAGGGUUUUUAAGAACUAUCUUCCUGCCUUUAAGUGGGGAGCUGCAUCUUUUCAGAGAAAAAUGUGUUUUAAAGAUGAUGAGAAAUUCAGAAACUUCUUAGGGAUAUUUGGAGAGGUUUACUUGAGCCAGAUCUUCCGUUUGUUUCAUAGAUGCAUGUUGGAUUAAUUUGUUUUUAAAGCAUAUAUAUAAAGAGUAAAGGAAAAAUUAAAGGAUUAAACCACCAGAAAGCAGAACUUGGAGCAUUUCAUGACUUGAUUAUUUUCCAGCAGCCACCUUUGCCAAGGAAGAAAAUGUGCCUAAAUAUUGUGGUAUUUGUAUCUCCUCAAACAGUUACUCAUAAAGAGAUAAAUGGGCAGUAAUAACAUGUAUUUCCCUAAUGGUUUAUGUGGUUUUUUUUAACGCAGCCCCUUCUUAUUUCAGGAGAAAAUAUGAAACCUGGUGCCUGGAUACUUUAUGUCAUUAAUUGCUUAUUGCCCUUAUCUGUACCCACUAGCUUAAUUACAAUCUGUCUGCUUGGUGCAUGGUGUGUGCUUUUUAAUAUGAAUUUUGAGAAAUUACUGGUAAAAAGGACAUGUACUGUAUGGAAAAACCUACUUAGUCUGAGGAGCUGGGCAGUGCUGGCAGCUCCUGGGAGGAGCUUUGGACAGCAGAGGGGUGAUCUCAAGUCAAGGCAUUGCCAAUAAAACGUUCCUGGUUCUCAGGUACAGUGCAGGGCAGCAAAAGCUGAAUGAGCUGUGAAUCCCAGAGUGUUCUCAAAGUUCAAUCCACAGACAACUCCCAGGCAGCAAAGAAGGUUUUCAAAUAAUGGUGUUACAUAUUUUGAAAGACUUUCCCUUUUCCUUUUUAUUGCUUUUUCUUGUUCAGUCUCCAGUGUUAUUUGCUAGAUAAUUAUCUCUUGAUUUUGAGGUGCUGGCUGUCCUUGGUAAGACCUAAACCUUACCUGUAAUGUCAAUUACUUUGUUUUAAUCAGGAAAUACACACUCCAUGCAAACUUUUGAUAGACCUCUCUUGCUUUUUUGACUUGUGAGUGUGUCUGCUGAGAAGCAGAGCAAGAGGGAGGGUCUGAAUUUGGUUUAGUUGCUCCAAGACCAGUAAAGACCUGGUGGAAGUGAGAAUACCAGGACACCCAGCUGUGCCUGGACUGACUCCUAGUGAUGCAACAUCUUUGUAGGGGUAUGAACUUCCCAGGUAGUUUUCCUUCCAUUUUAAGAAUGUUUUGCACAUAAAAGAACUUUGAGCAUUUUUGGUGUAGCAGGGAUCCCAUGUCAUGCAUCAGUUUCAUCACAUUCAUUCUUGAAAUACAUUUUAUGUCUGUUCACUUAAUUUUUAGGAAGUUGUAAAGACACAAAAGAAGAAACUAAAUGUUAAUGUAGUAGUUUCUUGUAAUGGAUUAAUUUUCAUAAGCUAAAGCUGAAUACUCUGAAAUCAGCUUACACUGCAAAUUAAAUGUUAGGUACCCCUUCUAUUUCCUUACAAGCAAAGAGAUUUUCUGUGACUGGCUCCACUGCCAUUGUCACUUUGGCAUAUUUAGGCUAAUUCCAAAUGUUAGUCCUUCUCUGUACCACUAAUACUUCUCUUUCCAUAAAAAUGUCCCGAUUUACUUGAUUCUCCUUUUUCUUUUGUGUGUGUAAAACUGAAAUUUGAGCACACUAAGUUUAGCUGCAUGUGCUUGUCCUAUAUAAACCUUUUUACACUGAAGUUUAGUUUUAUAAACAACCACAGUUUCUUCAAGUGAAAAGCUGUACUUUCCUUCCAAGAACACUUCCUAUUUUGUCUGUCUACAUGAGCUAGUUUGCAGAAGUGCAAUUGAAGUCUAGUGGGAGUAGCAUUCCAUUGUAGCUACACAAGUGUUGCAUUGUUAUAAAAAGAGAAAAUAUUGCCAUAUAAAUCCUA